rnacentral:rRNA from 1 species
UACGUAGGGUGCGAGCGUUGUCCGGAAUUAUUGGGCGUAAAGAGCCCGUAGGCGGUCUGUCGCGUCGAUCGUGAAAACUUGGGGCUUAACCCUGAGCUUGCGGUCGAUACGGGCAUGACUGGAGUUCGGCAGGGGAGACUGGAAUUCCUGGUGUAGCGGUGAAAUGCGCAGAUAUCAGGAGGAACACCGGUGGCGAAGGCGGGUCUCUGGGCCGAUACUGACGCUGAGGAGCGAAAGCAUGGGUAGCGAACAGG